rnacentral:lncRNA from 1 species
AUUUGGUUGGGGUCCUCGAAUAUGCAUAGGACUAAACUUCGCCAUGAUUGAAGCAAAAAUGACAUUAUCAAUGAUUCUACAGCGCUUCUCGCUUGAGCUUUCGUCAUCGUAUACACAUGCUCCCAUUGCUGCCAUAACAACACAACCUCAACAUGGAGCUCAUAUCAUACUACACAAAUUGGAAUUAGUUACUUAAACUAAGUAUUAGGUUGCACAUUAUCAAAAAGCUAAGGAAGUUCUGUGCUUCUGUGCUUUGACUAUAUAUAACUUCAAAUCCUUUUGAGAAAAAUGUACCCACGAAUGUUCUCAACUAAAUACCCUUUUCAUUGCUCACCAGCUCUCCUAAAUAAACAGUUUUAAGGGCAAUGACAUCCCCUUCCAUUUUCUGCUUGAGGUGAUAUUAGUGGUUGUAAUUGUACCAUUUAUGUUUAAAAUUUAUAAAACGAACGAAUCCACUGUUAGCCUGAACUUGAAGGGUAAGUCCAUACACUAAAAAUAAUUUAUGUUCCAGCUGAUUCAAAAUAGUCAAAUUUAUGCACUACAACUUUUGAAAACUGACCUUUCUCAUUGUCAUUUUAUCAAACACUUCAUCUGCAAUGUGUUCAUCAUCAGCAUUCUUGUUAACUUCAACCACAAAAUGUACCACAAGACAAAGAAAUAAUGUUCAAGAAAAGGUAUAAUAAUAUAAUUUCAAAUCCUUUGAGAAAACCAAGGAUGUGUGUAACUACGCCUACAUCACUUGUUUGAAGUAUGGUUUAGGCAUUAGAAGUUCAUAUGCAAAAAUAGAUCUCUUGUUUUGUACUCUUCUUUCAGACAAUAAAUAAAAUUUGGAUUUAAAUAUAAGAUCUUUCUGCAAAUUACCAAUCAAUCCAAAAGCUUAAAUAAAUUUAAUUAAUCAUAUAUCAUCAAACACGUAGAAAUCACGUUUGAUAUGAACAUGGACAAUAAAGUUGAAAAGAUAGCAUGAUUCACAUCAGGAGUAACAACUUAGGACUGAAAUAGACUAUGAGAAAUUGGCGUGUCCAUGCCACGUUCCAAGUGACCAAAUUGGCGUGUCCAAUGGCACCCCUCUAUCUCAUCUCUACUCAUCCAAAUCUAUAAAUUAAAAGGGCAAGAAAAUUAAAAUCCAGAAUCAAUUUUUCUAAUGUUAAAUUUAUUUUGUAUCAUUUAGUAGGAUUUUUAGAGUAUGUUAAAGACAUUAUUUUUUCUUUUAAAAAAAAACACUAUUAAUUACAUAAUUGUAUAUAUUCAGUUGAUUAUGUAUUUUAGAAGUAAAAAUACUUUUUGAUAUUUCACAUACGUUAAAAAUUAAGGUAAGGUUUUUGAAUUGAGUUGAUGAAGAGCAUUCCAAAAUGAUAUUUUUCAAAAAUACUAUAAUUAAAAUAUUUUUCAUUUUAAAACCAAUACUAUAAUGUAUAUUUCAACAAUUAAAAUAAUUGAUUUAUGGUCCACAUGUAAUUAUGACAAAUUGACUUCCUUCCCUCUAAUUUCAAUGAAUUUUUCUUGAACCUCAAGAAAAUAUUAAAAGAAUAUCUAUUUUUUUUAAUCUUUUUAUAAAGAAAAGUCUAAAAAAUAUAUCUUGGAGCUCAAGAUGAACUAUUUUUGUAAUCUUGUAAAGGUCUUUUGGUCAAUUUUCCCCUUUUAAAUUGCUUUAUUUUUAUUUUAGUUGAGUUUGAAUAUUGCAAUCAUCUUAUUUGGAAUAUUUAAAUCAAUAAUCUAUUAGUAUAUAAACAAGUAAAAUAGAACUAACGUUAUUUUAAAAAAGAUUAUACGUUGAUUUUGUUAUACUAAAAAUAAUUCUAAAAUUUUCUAUUUAAAUUAUAGUUGUACAUCGAUAUUUUUUUAGUAUAAUAUAUAUAAAAAAUACCAUUUAAAAUGAAAAAGAGUUGAAAAGAUCUAUAUAAAUCAUAGAUAGAAAGUAAACUUUUGGUAUAUAUUUUGUUUAGUAAGUUUAACUUAGCUCAUUGUCUCAGACUUUAAAACUAACCCUUUAUAUUUUCAUUUCAAAGAAAUAAAUAAAUACCAAUUAUUAAUGGGUUGGGUUAAAAUUAGAUUCAAAUUCAACAUUUAGGGCCGUUUGGGAAGGAAAAGAAAGGAAAUACUUGUUUGGCUUAGGGAUUAAGGAGGGAAAAUACUACCCUUAAUCCAUCUUAUUUAUUCUCUUUUUUCUCAUUUAUUACCCAUUUAAUCCUCUCAUUUUUCAAUAUAAUUUUUCUCUUUUUUCUUUAUUCUCUUUUCUCAUUUAUUUAUUUUUCUGUGCAAAUUAAUCUUUUUAUUUAUUCUCUUUUUUAAACAAAUUAAUCACCAUCUCUUAUUCUUCGUUCUAUUUGUGCCAAAUGAAUCAGUCAUCUUGUAUAGUAUGUUGCUUAUAAUUUUCGUGAAGAAAAAAAUUAAUAAAUGAAAGAAAAAAUAAAAACAACAAAAUACAAUUUUUUUAUUGUAAGUAUCGAUGAUACAAACUUAAAAUACAAAUUUCUUUUUGUAUUCUAUUUACGGUACAAUUUGAAAAAAUAUAUUUUACAUAAAUGAAAAAAAUAAUACAAUUUGUUUGUAUCGUCUAUUGUUUGUAUGAUCCGACUUUUUUUUUUUAUACAAAAUCAAUUUAAAAAUUAAUACAUAUUUGUUGUGUAUUGCGAUGUGUGUUGGGGUUACAGCAGAAAUGAAGUAUAAACAUUAUUUUAAUACAACUUUUCGUCGUUUUGGAAAAUAGUACGAACAAAAUAAAUAAGUUCAAACAAAUGCAAAUAUAUAUAUGUAUAUAUAUAUACAAUUUUUGUUUGUAUGUGGUUUACGAAAAACAUUUCAUAAACAUUUCUUACACACUAAAAAAAGAUGUAAUUCAAUUUCUUUUUCACAUGGGGUUGCGGUAGAAAAAAAAACAAAUAGUUGCCAUAAAUUUUUUAAAAAAGAGCAUAAUUUUAAUGUAUUGGAUUUACGGAUCAAAUUGAACUAUAAAUUGAAGACAAAUGAAAAAUUAAAUAAUACAAUUUCUGUGUGAAUUGAAUUUACUAUAUAAAUUUCGUAAACAUAUUUUACACAACAAAAAAAAUAAAUUAAUACACAUUAUUCUAUGUACUUGAUUUAAUGUUAAAAAAGAAAGAAAAAACUAUGGUACAAAUGAGACAAAAAAAUCUUUACUUUUCAAAGUAUAUUAGGUAUACGUUGUAAGUAAAAAAAUAUUUAUAUAAAAUAAAAAAAAGUACAAUUUUUUUUGUGAACGCAUAGAUUACGAUACAACCUAACUAAAAUAAUGAAUUUGAAUAUAAUUUUUUGUUGUAGAGGUUUUACCGUAUGAAAAAUUUACACAAAUGCAAAAAAUAUUAGCACAUUUUUCAUUUUGUAUUGGGUUCGUGAAAAAAAAAACAAUAAUUUCAUUUUAAGAAAAAAGUAAUUAUAUAUAUAUCAUAUUGGAGUUAAUGUACAAAUAAAAAAAAUUACACAAAUGAAAAAAAUACAAUUUUUUUUGUCAUAAUCCUUACCCCAAAUGAUCAUUCUCCCAAACAAGAAUUAUAAUAAUCCCUUCACUUAAUCAUUCCUCCAAAUAAGGAUUAUAAAUAAUCGAUCCUUUCACUUAAUCCUCCCCAAGCAAGAAUUAUAAUAAUCAUUUCCACCUCUUAAUCUUUUUUUAAUUCCUUUUUUUUCUAUUGCUUUCCUCCCCAAAUUUGAGUGAAGUGUAUAUUAAAAUAUAAUAACAAAAUGAUUUGGAUUGAAGCAAGUCAAAUUGCUUUUUUCCUCACUCAUAUGGGUUUAGAAAAGAAAGAGAAUUGACCAACAUUUAAUGCUUUUUCUCCACAAGAUAAAGGAAAUAGGAACAAACUAGGAAAAAGCAACCAUCAACAUUAUUGAGUAGAAAUUUCAACCAUGAUGGGUACCCUUCAAAUUGGAUCCUUAUCAUCUAAUAUCUUCCGUCCUAUAUCAUCUUUUGAUCUUAAAUAUAUAUUUUAUAUUGGUAGAGUUAUAUUUAUAUAUAUUCUUUUUAAUUAAAAAUGAUACAUUAAGUUGUUUAACUUUACGUAUAUUUAAGUGGUUGGUCACUACAAAGUCACAUAUUAAUUGAAUUAACAAAUAAAUAAUAUUUCCUUAUCAAGGAAAAGACUAAAAGAGAAAAAGAAAUAAGUAAAAAACACCAACACAAGCCAAUAAUUUAUUUUUUGUCCACUCAUCAUAUAAAAAACAUCCACAUCAUCUUUUGACGUUAAAGCCAUGGUUUCAAAACUUUAUAAAUUAUUUAUGAUAGGUUUAGAUUGAUAAGAAAAAAAAUGACUUAUUUUAGUAUUAAACACUUCAACAUUUCAAUCAAAUGCAUAUUUAGAACUAAUCAUAUUUGAUUCUAUAUAUUUAUGAUAAGUAAUAAUAAUUAAGUAUAUAUCAAAUUGGAAGAGUUUGAAAUUUUUUUGUUAUAUUUGUCUUUUUUUUCUUUGUUAUAUAUGCUAAUAUUUUAAAUUUAAUGGUUAUAUUUACUUCAUCCUAUUAUUUAAAAAAAUAUUUUACCAAAUUAUUAAAUUAAAAAGAAACAUUUUUAAUAUAUAUAUAUUUUUUUAAUUUUCCAAUAAUGAUAAUAUCCAUUAAAAUGAAAAAGAGAAAGAUUGUAAGGUUAUAAAUAGAAGAGAGAAGUUAGAGAAGUGAAUGCCCCAAAGUUAUUGUCUGUUUAAUAAACACAAUUUUGAGAACUCUGAGUUUCUUUGUUUACAAAGAUGUGGUAUGUUCCUGAUACGGUUUCAACUCCCACAGUAAUGAUAAUUAGUUUUGUUUUAGUGUUAUUAUUGUUAUUGGGAUGGAAAUUAGCUGAUUGGAUUUGGUUUCGGCCGAAGAAAUUAGAGAAGCUUUUAAGGCAGCAAGGAUUCGCCGGGAAUUCAUACCGGAUUCUCCACGGCGACUUGAAGGAGAGUGCGGCCAUGAGAGAGGAAGCAAUGUCCAAGCCCAUGAAGUUCUCCAAUCAUAUUGCUCCACGUGUCAUUCCUUCUGUUCAUCAAACCAUCCAGCAUUAUGGUAACACUUUAUCCCAAACUUCCUUUCUUAUUUUUCUUAUUUUUUUUCAGUAAUAAAGGAAAAUUGUCAAAAAUUUACCCUCAGUAAAAAUAUCCAAAAAUCAAGUGAUUUUGUUCGAUUUUGUUCUAUAUGGGUAAAUAAUUUGUCAAUUUUCUUUUUCUAUUUUUGAAAAAAAAUUAAUAAUAGAAUACACUAAAGUCAGUUUAUUGGGAAAAUUUUUAGUUUUAGAAAACUGGGUAUGAAAUGCCUAUGAUGCCCUUACAUGCUUCCUCCCACCUCACCUUUUUCUCUCAUUUUUUUCCCUCUAAUUUCUUUCUAACUUACUUUUCGUACUAAUAAAAUUGAUUUUAAAAUAUCAAAAGUAUUUUUCAUCAUUUUAUUUAGUCUUUAAAAUCAAUUUUAAAUCUCAUAAAAUCAAUUUUCAUAAAUUUGUUUGUCUACGAAUUGAUUUUACAAAAUUAGUUCUACUUAUUUUUUUUUUUCUUUUCAAAAUACUCCAACUAUCACUCUUAAACGAUAAGUACCGUAAUCAUAUAAUUUUUUUUAAUUUUUUUUAAAUAUUGUAAAAUAAAUUUAAAUAUAAAAAAAUAGCAAAAUAUCACUUCAAAUUGAGUUAAAAAAAUUUAAAACAUAAUUUUUUUUCUUUUUUAAAUAUACUAAACAAGGAGCUUUUUUUCGGGAAGAGCUCGCUUCCAGAAAAUUUCUUUCGAGAUUUUCCACCUCCACCCAAGUAAAAUUGAAGGGGAAUUAAUUUUCGUGAUAAUACAUGAAUGAAACGAGAGCACAAAAUACUUAAAAUUUUUGGUUAAAGUAUUCUUUAUUUUAUUUUACGUUUGUGUUUUCAUAGUUAAUUCAUUAAAGUUACCAAUAGUUUUGAAAGUAAAAUUUAAAGGACUAUUUUGUUUGAUUGGGAGUGUAGGGAAGAAUUCAUUCAUGUGGAUUGGGACAGUGCCAAGAGUGCACAUAAUGGAUCCUGAGCAACUCAAAACUGUGUUCUCAUUCAUCAAUGAUUUCCAAAGGCCAACUAUGAAUCCUCUUCUCAAGUUGUUUACAAAUGGUCUUUUCAGUCAUGAAGGACAAAAAUGGGUCAAACAUAGAAAGAUUAUAAGCCCUGCAUUUCAUUUAAAGAAGCUUAAGGUAUCUCUAUCUUUUUCUUUCUCUCCCUAUAUGUAUAUAUAUACAUAUCUCAUUUUUAAACUAUUUUAUCAUAAUCUUACUAGCUAUGACCAACAUACUCUUACAUUGCCCUAUAUAUAGGAUAUGAUACCCGAAUUCUAUCAUAGUUGUAACGAGAUGGUUAGCAAGUGGGAAAGCAUGGUCUCUGAAGAGGGAUCUUGUGAGUUAGAUGUAAUGCCUUAUCUCCAAAAUAUGGCUUCUGAUGUGAUUUCUCGAACUGCAUUUGGGAGUAGCUAUGAAAAAGGAAAAAAGAUCUUCGAGCUUCAAUCUAAAUUAGGUGCCUUUGCAAUUCAAUCUAGCUUAGGGAUAUAUAUUCCAGGAUGGAGGUAAAACUUAACCCAUCUACAACAUUAUGAUACAUCUAUAGACUAUGGUGAAAGAUUGUAUAUCAUGAAUUAUGUUUUGUGCAGGUUUCUACCCACGAAGUCAAAUAAUAAAAUGAAAGAGAUAAGUAAAGAGAUAUCAACUUUGAUAUUGGGUGUUAUGAAUGAAAAGGAAAAGUCUAUGAAGGCAGGUGAAGCUAUACAAACUGAUCUACUAAGCAUUCUCAUAGAAUCCAAUUUGAAUGAAAUUAAAGAACAUGGAAACAACAAAGGCAUGGGAUUGAGCAUACAAGAUGUUAUUGAUGAAUGCAAGCUUUUCUAUAUUACUGGUCAAGAAACUACAGCAACAUUACUAAUUUGGACGAUGGUAUUGUUGAGUUCAUAUUCAGAAUGGCAGGAGCGAGCAAGAAAAGAGGUAUUUGAGAUCUUUGGCAACAAGAAACCAGAUUAUGAUGGUUUAAGUCGGCUAAAAGUUGUAAGUGUGAUUAUAUUCUCCAACAUUUACUUUCUAUUUAUUUAUUUUUUCCAUUUUAAUUUCAUCUCAUUUGUGAAAUUUAAAUGUCAACCCUAUGAAUCAAAACAAUCCCAUGAGAUAGUUUUGAAUAUAUGAAUAUUCAACAAAGGUUUCUUAGCUUAAUCUCAAUCAAGUGUAUUAACUUUGGAUUUUGUAAAUUGAAACUAUAAAGGUCAUUUGAUAAAGUACUUGGCAUAUAAGAAGCACAAACAAUUUGAUUUGGCUAGCAUGUUUAUGUGUGUCAAGCACUUAUGGUCAUUUUUUGACAUGAUUCAAACACUUGUUAGUGCAAUAGAUGUGUGAUAGAAACUAGGUGUACAAAGUCAAGUAGGUAUAACAUUUAUUAAAUUUAAUAGUUGUUGAGUGUACUAAAAUAGACAAUAUAUGACCAGAAUAAUAAAUUUUAAUAGCAAAAUACAUCAAACUAAUUUUUCUAGGUUUUGUAAAAGUGAUAUGCCACUAAAUGGAUAUCGUGUCAUAUUUAUAUCUUGUAUUUGUAUAUGUGUUUCUUUGCUAGAUAGCAUGUUGGCAAGGAGUGAGUACAUCGUCUUUGACGUGUGGCUUUUGGGAAUGUAUCCUAAAAGGUUAUGUAUUAGCUAAUAAAUGAUAAGUGACUUUUGCUAUGGCACAGGUGACUAUGAUCUUCAAUGAGGUUCUCAGGUUAUACCCACCUGUGAGUAUGUAUGCUCGUACUGUGAAUAAAGAAACAAAACUUGGAAAUUUGACUUUACCAGCAGGAGUGAUGUUGAGUUUACCAAUUAUUCUUAUCCAAACUGAUCGUGAGUUAUGGGGACAAGAUGCACAUGAAUUUAAUCCAAAUAGAUUUUCAGAAGGUGUUUCUAAAGCAACAAAAAAUCCAUGUGCUUAUGUACCAUUUGGUUGGGGUCCUAGAAUAUGCAUAGGACUAAACUUUGCCAUGAUUGAAGCAAAAAUGGCAUUAUCAAUGAUCCUACAACGCUUCUCAUUUCAGCUUUCUCCAUCAUACACACACACUCCUAUUGCAGGUUUAACAACACAACCUCAACAUGGAGCUCAUAUCAUACUACACAAACUCUAGCUACCUUCUUAAACUAUGUACUAACUUGCACAAUUAUCAUAGUUAAGAAUAGGAAUGUUUGCUAUUUUUGCUUGUAAUUUCCAAUACUUUGCGAAAAAGUUAGCUACACAUGUUCUAGAUAUAUUUUCCUUUCAACUAAAUUCUCUUUUUCAUUUUUCACUAGCUCUUAAAUAAACAAUUUUCAAGAUAAUAGCAUCUACUCCUUUUUCAGCUCGGGAUGAUUAAUUAAUCCUUGUAAUUGUACCAUUUUUGUCUAAUAUGAAGAAAAAAUCUCAAUAGUCAUAAAUAAUUAGUUCAUUAUUCAACAUGGUGAAGUUUACGCCCUGAAACUGACCUUUUUUUUUUUUGCUCAUAGUUAUUUUUCUGCAAUGAGCUUCUCAGCAACAUUCUACUAAACUUCUACCAUAAAAAAAACAUACAACACAACAAACAAAUAUUCCAAAUGAGAUUAUGAAACUAUACCCACAAACUGUAAUACUCAUUACAUAUAAAUUCAAGAAGAGGGUGUAAUUCUUGGAAACAACGUGUAACUACAACUACAUUAUUAAUUUGGACUAAGUCUUUUUUAUUGAGCUCAUACUUGCAAAAGCAAACAAGAAUAGAGGUCAUGGAAGUCUUUGUACACUACUACAAAACUGGUUUUACUUGACACUUAAAACCGGACAAUGUUCUUAUUAUAUUCAGUAGGCUUUUUAUAAUAUGAUCCCUUACGUAGAUGUCCUAGUUAAUAUGAGUAAUGCAAUACCUUUUCAAUCAGAUUCAUAAAAGACAACACAUUUGCAAUGUCGUAUAGCCGCCUUACGUUAGUUGUAUAUAAUAAAAGAUGUAAUUAUCAAGCAUUUCCCCGUUCACAUUCUAAAAUUAAUAUCAAAGUUCAAGAUUUCUUACUUCUCAUUAUUAAUGAAUUGUAGUCAUCUCCUAAUAAAAGCUUAGCAACUUUGUCAAGGGAAAUCAUAUUCACCUAUAAACCCAAUUUCUAUUAGUUAACGGAAAUCGCAAAGAGGCUCAUCAACAAACAGUAAACGAUAAGGUGGUUCAAUUUUUCACUCACAUGACUGCAGAUAAAUAGCUUAACAAUUUCCAAAUUUUGUCUGCAGAUACUAAUAGAAAGUGUAAGGGAAUCUCAUUGUGGGGGGCUACCCAAUUUUAUCUAGCACAACAAACAUAAAAGUUGGAAAUUGAACUACAACCAUACAAAAUGUUGUCCAAAGACAGUUGCAGUUGAGGUCUGGCUGCCAGUUGGAUUGGAAAAUCUUUCAUCCUCAUCUUCAUCAUAUCCAAGACCUAAAUGUGACCAAAUGCAGGACAAGGAAUGGUCAAAUUCCAACCCAUAUACAUGCAACAAAUGGGAAGAAAUGAGGAAAUUUGAACUAAAAAAGGAAAAAUAAACUGGCUUACUUUUGCAUAAUAGUUACCAUCAGAUGCCCAGCAAUUCUCCCUCAAUCCCUCUUCCUAUCAAAUAAUUCAAAACAAAUUACGCCAUUUCCAUAACCCCAAAUGGAGAAAACAGCUGAAAUGAAAUCAGUCCCAACUUUAUUUCUCCCUAGGAAAUUUAUACCGUAAAUAAGAAAGAUAAGUUUAUAAAUAAUCCAAUUUGACCACAGUAAAUAAGGAAGAUAAGUAGGACCUAAACUUAAUUUUUGUGUAUAAUUGAAUUAGUCACAUUUAAGCUAUGUAGACAGACCAUACCCACAAGGCAACCAAGUCUAACCCUAACGAGAUCCACAAACCAACAAGUACAAAUACUGGUUGCUAUUUGCUUGAAUAUUGUAUACAACCAAAAUGUAUAGAACACAAUGACACCUUGGCAAUGAAUUAUUAAAUAAUUAAGACAUUACAAAUAUAUAAUUGCCUCUUAAAAAAACAAAAAAUUAAUCACCUUUAUUAGUAAAAAAAAAAUGUAAUUAAGCUAAUCAAAGAAUAAUUCCAAACACACCACUGUCCCUUUUCUUUAUACUAAAAAACAGAAUCUAAUUAUACAAAAAUUCAAUAUUAAUCAAAGUCUAAAUUAUUAAAAUUACAAAGGAGCACAAAAGUCCCUAAGUUUUAUUUAUAUAUUACAGCAAAUAAUAGUCAAUACAUCUCUAUAUAGUUGAAGAAACUAGAACACAAGACAAAAAACAAAAAACAGAGCAUCAAUGAAAGAACUUAAAAACAAAAAUCAAAAUUCAAUAUCUUCAUUUCCAUCUAGGAUAAUGAUUCUCCUUCUUGCUGUUCUUAAAAGCGCAGCAUCAAAAUGGAGUAAACAAUGAUGAGAAACACAAGUAUAACAAUAUUAGUGAUCGCCACCUUCUUCCAGUUCCUCUUCAAAUUAUCCAACACUCCACCUCAACAAAGCCAUUAACUGUCAAUCUUAAUACAAAGAACAACCACUUCACCAAAAAUUGAAGAUGCAUCUUCACCAACACCUAAGAUAAUUUACAGAAAAAGAAUCGACUUAUCCUCAAGGAAAAGAAAUAUUAGUGAACAAAUAAACUGUCAGCGGUAGUAAAAAGAAAAGAAAUAGCUUAAUAACAUUCAAUGUACCUGGUAAAAAAAUUAUACACACAACUAAAGUAUCAUGGGAGACAACUGUACAAAUAUAAUCUACUCAAACUUGAAACAAAUCAAUUCAAUCUGAGUGUUCAUUUCCUACAACGUGGAUAUCAGUAUAUACCUAAUACACAAAGUUCUUAGUAAGCGCACCACAACAAAGGAUCUAGAGAUAAUGUUGUUGUAAUUUAUGUCCUAAAACUCUUGUAAAUAUAAUUCAUUAACCGUUUUAAUAAAAUGUUAUUAAUGUAAUAAUUGUUAUUAAUUAUGUUAUUAGUUUUGUUUUAAUGACUCAAAUUCAAUAAAUUAAUAUUCUAAGCUGUAUAAUGAGUUUUGAACAUAUUUAGAGACAUACAAUGAUCAAUGUUCGAGAUCAGCUUAAAGGAUUUACAGUAUAGAGAUAAGGAUGAGUACCUUAUCCUGGUAACACAAUGGAUAUGACGAUUUGUAUGGGUGAGAGUCGUCAAAUCGCCGACUUAAUAAGCUUAUCAUUUUGGGGACAAGACCGAGUGGGGAGCUGGGAACAUAAUUACACAAGAUAGAAUUCACUCAUUCCCUAUUUUAAGGUAAGUAAAUGGGUGUUCCCUUAAAUGAUGUCUCCAGGUCUUGAACAAAGAACCCUACCCUCUCUAUGGAACAAGAGAAAUUUUUGUUUAUUGGUAGAACCAUAAACAAGUUGUUCAUUGGAGAAACACUAAUAUUUAAGGAUUAGAGGUAACCUAGGGGUAAAACAGUAAAUUGACACAGCUGGUGUUAUGAACACUCGUGAAGGACUAACUUAUUGUUAUUGGUCUAUAUCCGUGGACACAAAAAUAUAUCUAAAGUGAGAAGAAAACAAUUUUCUUUAACUUAAACCAACAAAAUUCAUUAAGAAAAAAUCUCUCAAAUAUCUUUAAACAUUUUCCUUUCCAAUUGGUUUCUACAAACCAAUCUCGUCCCAGAUGAUAGGAAGGUCUCCGACGGGUGGUGUCCCUAGUGAUUUGUAGAUAGAGAGACGUCAUCGAAAGUAAGUUCUAUGAAUCUUUUAAUUUAAAGGCAUGCUUAGUUUUUAUUUAGAAUUUUGAUUCUAAAAUUUUGUCAAUGUACUGCUAUUUUAACAUUCUCAAAUUAGUUUGGGAAACGGUUCUUUAAAUUCUUCUGUUACGUAGGGUUUUUAUCCCUUCAAUAUAUAUGUCAAUAUAAGUCUUCUUAUUUUGUUGAAAAAAUACGAAAACACCUAAAAAAAAUAUGGAUUCUUGAUUUUCUUGAUGGGUAAAGUUUUCUUAGUUUCGUUGAUGGCCCACAAACAUCAAGAAAACUAUUUCUUGAUGGAUAAUAAACAUCAAGAAUAACAUAUUAAUUAGUUGAUUAACAAUGCCCAUCAGAUUAAUUAGGUUUUCUUGAUGGAUGAGGCCCAUCAAUGAAUGAAUUUUCUUGAUUUGCAAUGGCCAUCAUCGAAAAAAAAUAAUAUAUUUGUUUUGGAUUUCUUGAUGGGUUUAGAAUUUUCUUGAUGAAUCUAGGAUUUCUUGAUGCACAAAAACAAAAAACAGAUCAUCAACAAGGUCCAUUAAGAAAAAUGAUAUCUUAAUGGACAUCGUAACCAGUGGUGUUCAUUCUAUUUUCUAAUAUUUUGUCUAUUCGUUGGUCUACAUACUUAAUUUGGGUGAUUUUCAUAAGGAUAACACAGGAAUGAAAGAUGAAUUAGGAUUGGAAAAUGCUCAAAAAAAAUGGUCUUUCUUUAAUGUCAACCAUGUAUGAAUGUACCCAUUUCUUGUUUACUCCUCUCACUCCUCAUUCCAUCCUCUUAUUUCUUACUCACGUUCCUCGUCAACAUAGCAUUAAACCACUUUUGAAUUUUCUUUUCCAUAGUUGAUUCUAACAGAAAGAGGAGAAGAAAAAAAAAGUGAAAACGAAAAAGACAGGAAGAUAUGUUAGAGUCUAAGGAUGAUAGCUAUUAGAUUCAAAGUAUUAACAUAAAUGGUAACAUUUUGCAAAAAAAUAUUACAAAUAUAACAAAAUAUGUUAGAGUCUAAAAGUCUAUCAACAACUUUGAUAUAUUUGCAAUUUUUAAAAGUGUUAUUAUACAUUUCAUAAUUAUCUCUAAAAUUGCUACAUGAACACUAUUAUAUGUGUGAUGUCGAUCGAUCGGUGAGUCUAAAAUCUCAUUGUACCUACUCUUAUAGAAUAAAUAGUCAAAUUUUGCAUGUGUCAAAACUGAUACUGAUGACACCCAUUUGGUUGGUUUUAGUAAACCAGAACGAAUUUUGGGCCCACCCAUGUUUGAGAGUUAGGUUGUAUAUAAUUGAGUUGAAUUGGAUUAAUGAUAUUUGUUGCAUUUAUUUAUGACCUAAAUUGUUUUUGUAUUAGUUAUCUUUGUUUACUUAACCUUUUACAUAACUAUUAAUUAUCCAUUAUGCUUAUAAUAUACAUAUAGCCACGUGUCACCUUUCCUCACAUCCAACUUCUAUGUCAUAUCUUGACUAUGUAAUCCACGUCAUGGUUAUCAAAUUGUUUAUAAAUAGAGACAUUUAGUGAGUUUUGAAGAAUACACAUAUCGGUGAAAUGUCCAAAGAAACGAAAGAAAGUGGACUUUGUGGAGAUUUUAGUUUGAGAUUUUCUAAUUUCUAACAUUUCUUUAAUUUUUAUUUUCUUUCUUUAUUUUAUUUAGAUUUUUUUUUAAAAAAAGUAAAUUUUAUAAAAUAAUUAACAGUUAUAACAAAUUCUAUGCUGAUAGUCGUUGAUAUGCUAUAUUAGUAGAAUCCAAAAAUUUACUAACUUAUGUAUAUUUUAUUUUAUUUUAUUAUUUUUAAAAAUGUUUCAUUUAUUUUAAUAUUAUAUAUUUUCAAUUUUUGUAUUUUGGCUAUGCCUUAUUUUUACACAAGAAACUAUUGCUUAAAUGAAACUACCAUAUAUAUUUGCUUUCAUAUGAAUUUUAGAAGCAAAAGUAGUAUUUGAUAUUUCAUAUUAUGUUGAAAAAAUAAGAAUAGGUUUUCAAUAAUUUAGUUGACGAAGACCCCACCAAAAUGAUAUUUUUCAAAAAUACUAUUAACCGUCAAAAUAUCAAUGUGUGGACUAUAUAAUAUAUCUUUCAAUAAUUCAAUUAAUGAUUGUCCUAUCUAAUUACGACGAAUUACAAAGGUUACGUAAAUGACAUGACUACUUCCUUCUAUCAAUUUUUCUUGGACCUCAAGAAUAAACAUAUAUAUAAUAUAUAGACUUUCUUUUUUGUUUUUGAAAAAAUCUAAAUUUGUAUCUAUUUCAACAAGUAUAGAACAAUAAUAUUCUUGGACUUCAAGUAAACUAUUUUUGUGACUUAUUACGUGGAAUUGAUUUAAGAAAAAAAAUACUUUUGUUUCCAUUUUUUAAAUUAAAUAUUUUAAAAUAUAUUCCAAACACACUUUUAAUAAUAAUCAUUGCUGAAAAAAAAUGUACCUAAGCUCUCUAUAAUUUAUUAUUGAUUGAAAGCAUGGUGUUGAAGGUUUGAACCUACAUUUUAAGUAUCUAAAAACAUAUUUUUUCUUUUUGUUUUUUUCUAUAGUAUUAACAAAUAAAAGAAAAGUAAUGAACAUCAUUUAAACUUCAGAGACAAAAUAUAAAAUAUAUAUCAGUAGUAGGUUCAGAUUGGCUUCUAAAUCAACUUAGUACAUUCAAAAAGUCAUAAAAUUAUUAUAAUUUAAGUAGUCAAAUCAUUGUUCGAAUUUAGUGAUGAUUUAAUUUAAGAUUUUAUAAAUAUCUGGAAAUAAAAAAUGUCUAGAAAAUAUGCAUGAUGUAUGAAAAUAAAAAAAAAAAUGAUUAUGUUUGGUUGUCGUGAAAAGUGCUAUGGAAAUUUUAUAAAAAAAAAUGUGUUCUGUAUUUUAUUGUUAAAAGUUGAGUAAUUAAGUAAUUAAUAAUUAAAAUUAACCAAAAAUCAAAGUAAUUGUCCAAUUAAUAUAUUUUAAUGAAAGUGUUACUAAUUAAUAAAUUGUGGAUGAAAAUGUUAUUAACUUUUCCUAAGAGUAAUUAAUGUCUGUUAUUUUUGUUGUUGUUGGACAUAAAUAAAUGAUAUUUUAUCUAAAUUGUUUGAUUCCUUAAAAAAAAAACCUGACAAAUUGUAUGCAAUAAUAAAGUAUUAAAUCAUCCAAAUUUAAUUUUCAAUAAUUUGAUUCUAAAGUUUAUGUCACUGAAUUUUCAAAUUCAAUCAGUUAGGGUAAUUAUUUUCUACGCAUGGUAGCCGUUUUUCCUUUUUAAAAAACUCUUAAUUUUUAUUAUAUAUAUAUAGUGAUAAAAAUUGCAAAGAUUUUGGAGUUAUAAAUAGAAGAAUAGAAACGUUAGAGAACUCUAUACCCAAUCUUAUUGUUUCUUCAAUUAUUGAGAUUUCAAAGAUGUGGUAUGCUCCCGAUACAAUAAUAAGUAUUGUUUUAGUGUUAUUAUUAUUAUUGGGAUGGAAAUUAGCUGAUUGGAUUUGGUUCCGCCCCAAGAAAUUAGAGAAGCUUUUAAGACAGCAAGGAUUCGCCGGAAAUUCUUACCGGAUUCUCCACGGCGACUUGAAGGAGAGAGCCGCCAUGAGAGAAGAAGCAAUGUCCAAGCCCAUGAACUUCUCCAACCAUAUUGCUCCACGUGUCAUUCCCUCUAUCUAUCAUACCAUCCAACGUUAUGGUAACACUUUUAUUCCCUAUUUUUCCUUCUCAUAUAUCCUUUUCUUCUUCUUCUUCAAAUAAGAUUUCAAAGAAAUAAAUUAAAAUUAGGGUUUCAUUUGGUAUUGAAGAGCUGUGUUUUAUAUGAUUACAUUUCUAUUUACUGUUUGAAAAUUAAUUUAUUACUUCUAUCCAUUUUCAAUCAAUGUUUUACAAAAGUAAUGCAAAUUUUUAAAGACUAAAACUGCUCUAGUCUUUUCCUUUUCAGAAUUUACUUAUUUUUACUUCACAAAAAUGAAAACCAUGGUAUGCAAUUGGGAGGCUUAAUUUAAUUUCUAUCUUAAAAGAAUGUAAAAAAAAAACAAUUUGUAUGCUCUCAUGGAAGUAACAUAUAUACUAUGUAUUUGCUGAAAAUAUUGAGUCACUAGUUAGUUUAUCGAUUUAUUUAGGAAAGAAAUCUUAUUAAAUUGUAACACUAAAUUCUAAAAUAGAGAUUAAAUAAUUACAAAUUUUAAAGAAUAGUAACUAAAUUUUUCUAUAGUAAAGAUCAGGGACUAUGGAUUAAAUCGUGAUAAAAUAAAGUAUAAAAACUAAAUUGCUAUAUUAUUGUAUAAGAACUAAGUUAUGUACUGGGAUUUUAAUAUAUUCAGCAGCCAACCUAUAUUUACAUACAUAGUUUAACAGAAUAAAAUAUAGAUAGGAUAGAAAAAUAGAAAAUUUAUUGUAAUGGGAAGAAGUAUUGUUCAAAAUAGUAACAUGUAUCGCUUUAGUAAAAUGGUGCCUAAAAUGGAUUAUCAUCAACUCCCAAUAUGUUGAUUUUAAACUGUGCAGGCAAGAAUUCAUUUAUGUGGCUUGGUCCCAUACCAAGAGUGCACAUAAUGGACCCUGAACAACUCAAAACUGUGUUCUCAUUCUACAAUGAUUUCCAAAAGCCAACUAUGAAUCCCUUUACCAAGUUGCUUGUACAAGGAAUUGUAAAUCUUGAUGGAGAAAAAUGGGUCAAACACAGAAAGAUAAUCAACCCUGCAUUUCAUUUAGAAAAGCUCAAGGUAUCUAUAGCUUUUUCUAAAAGUGAAAGAGAUGACUAUUUCAGUUUUUUUUUUCUUUCAAAAUACACUUUUAUUAUUAUCUAUAGUUCCUAAGAAACAAGAAAUGCAAUAAGAAAACGAAAAAAAGUUAUCAAACGAAGUACCUAAUUCUAAGUUCUCACACAUACCUUUACAUUGGCUCGUAGGAUAUGGUACCAGCAUUCUAUCACAGUUGUAACGAGAUGGUUAGCAAGUGGGAAAGCAUGGUCUCUAAAGAGGGAUCUUGUGAGUUAGAUGUAAUGCCUUAUCUAAAAAAUAUGGCUUCUGAUGUGAUUUCUCGGACUGCAUUUGGGAGCAGCUAUGAGAAAGGAAAAAAGAUCUUCAAGCUUCAAACUGAACUAACUAAUUUUGUGAUUCAAACUACCUUAGGGAUAUAUAUUCCUGGAUGGAGGUAAAAACACUAUUUAUAUCCAACAUGAUUGUAUAUACAUCUAUUGUGAAAUAAUUCAUGUCAUGAUUAUUAUUUUUUGUGCAGAUUUCUACCCACAAAGUUAAACAGAAAAAUGAAAGAGAUAAGCAAAGAGAUAACAACUUUGAUAUUGGGUAUUAUGGAUGAAAGAGAAAAGUCUAUGAAAGCAGGUGAAGCAAUACAAACUGAUCUAUUAAGCAUUCUCAUGGAAUCCAAUAUGAAUGAAAUUAAACAACAUGGAAACAAAAAAGACAUUGGAAUGAGCAUAGAAGAUGUUAUUGAAGAAUGCAAGCUUUUCUAUAUUGCUGGCCAAGAAACUACAGCAACAUUACUAGUCUGGACGAUGAUAUUGUUGAGUUCAUACUCAGAAUGGCAAGAGCGUGCAAGAGCAGAAGUCUUUGAGAUCUUUGGUAACAAGCAACCAAAUUAUGAUGGUUUAAAUAGACUAAAAGUUGUAAGUGUGAUAUCAUUCUCCAACGUUUACUCUCUAUUAAUCUUUUUUUUUUCAUUUUGAUUUCAUCUCAUAUGUGAAAUUUAAAUGCCCAUCUUCUAGUAUAAAACAAUCACAUGAGCAAGUUUUGGAGGUAUGAGUGAAUAUUCUUGGAAUGUUUUCUAACUAAAUCUCAAUCAAGCUUAUUGUCUUUAGAAGUUGAAGAGUAUAAAGGCUACGUGAUAAUUAAACUUGACAUCUAAGAAGCACAAACAUUUUAAUUUAACUAGGGUGUUUGUGUGUCAGACACUUAAGACACUCUAAUAGGUUUCAAACACCUUGUUAGUAUAAUAGAUUUAUGUUAGAAAACUAGUUGUACAGUGUCAAACAAGUCCAACAUUUAUUUAUAUGCAACCAAUGAUGAUUGGUAUACUAAAUAAUUUAUAAGCAUAUAAAUGAAGGACUUCUUUGACCUUGAAGUUUUUUUCUUGUAUAAAACUGGAUUAAACAUGUCCUUAUAAUGCCCAUGUCCUCAUUUAUAACAGUGGCCACUAUGUGGUCUCGUGUCGUGUCAUAUUCAUAUAUUGUAUUUGUAUAUGUGUUUCUUAGCAAGAUAAGUUGUAAAAGAGUGACACAUUGGCAUGUGACUUUUGAGAAUAAUGUGUCCUAAAAAGGUAUGUACAUGACAAGUGGCUUUUGCAAUGGUGCAGGUAACUAUGAUCUUCAAUGAGGUCCUCAGGUUAUACCCACCAGGGAGUCUGUUUGUUCGCAUUGUUAGGAAAGAAACAAGACUUGGAAAUUUGACUUUACCAGGAGGAGUAAUGUUAGGCUUACCAAUUGUUCUUAUCCAACGUGACCCUGAGUUAUGGGGAGAAGAUGCACAUGAAUUCAAUCCAGAGAGAUUUUCUGGAGGAGUUUCUAAAGCAACAAAAAAUCCAAGUGCUUUUAUACCAUUUGGAUGGGGUCCUAGAAUAUGCAUAGGACAAACCUUUGCUAUGAUUGAAGCAAAAAUGGCAUUAUCAAUGAUUCUACAACGUUUCUCAUUUGAGCUUUCGCCAUCGUACACACACUCUCCCAUUGCCAGUUUAACAACACAACCUCAACAUGGAGCUCAUAUCAUACUACACAAACUCUAGCUACCCUCUUAAAAUAUAUAUUAUUAGCUUGCAAAUUAUAAAAAGGCUAGGAAAGUACUCUGCUGCUUUGUCUAUGUAUAAUUUCAAAUCCUUUGUGAAAAAGAUACCUACACAAGGAAUUGAUAUCCUUUCAACUAGACAC